rnacentral:rRNA from 1 species
GAGUUUGAUCAUGGCUCAGGAUGAACGCUAGCGGCAGGCCUAAUACAUGCAAGUCGAGCGCCCCGCAAGGGGAGCGGCAGACGGGAGAGUAACACGUGGGAACGUACCCUUCAGUUCGGAACAACCCAGGGAAACUUGGGCUAAUACCGAAUACGUCCGUAAGGAGAAAGAUUUAUCGCUGAAGGAUCGGCCCGCGUCUGAUUAGCUAGUUGGUGAGGUAACGGCUCACCAAGGCGACGAUCAGUAGCUGGUCUGAGAGGAUGAUCAGCCUCACUGGGACUGAGACACGGCCCAGACUCCUACGGGAGGCAGCAGUGGGGAAUAUUGGACAAUGGGCGCAAGCCUGAUCCAGCCAUGCCGCGUGGAUGAUGAAGGCCCUAGGGUUGUAAAGUCCUUUCGACGGGGAAGAUAAUGACGGUACCCGUAGAAGAAGCCCCGGCUAACUUCGUGCCAGCAGCCGCAGU